CGGUGAAGCUCCAAGCUUGCUUGGGGUGGAUCAGUGGCGAACGGGUGAGUAACACGUGAGUAACCUGCCCCGGACUCUGGAAUAAGCGCUGGAAACGGCGUCUAAUACUGGAUAUGACAUCAAGCCGCAUGGUUAUGGUGUGGAAAGUUUUUCGGUCCGGGAUGGGCUCGCGGCCUAUCAGCUUGUUGGUGAGGUAAUGGCUCACCAAGGCGACGACGGGUAGCCGGCCUGAGAGGGCGACCGGCCACACUGGGACUGAGACACGGCCCAGACUCCUACGGGAGGCAGCAGUGGGGAAUAUUGCACAAUGGGCGAAAGCCUGAUGCAGCGACGCCGCGUGAGGGAUGACGGCCUUCGGGUUGUAAACCUCUUUCAGCAGGGAAGAAGCGAAAGUGACGGUACCUGCAGAAGAAGCACCGGCUAACUACGUGCCAGCAGCCGCGGUAAUACGUAGGGUGCGAGCGUUGUCCGGAAUUAUUGGGCGUAAAGAGCUUGUAGGCGGUUUGUCGCGUCUGCUGUGAAAAUCCGGGGCUCAACCCCGGACUUGCAGUGGGUACGGGCAGACUAGAGUGUGGUAGGGGAGACUGGAAUUCCUGGUGUAGCGGUGAAAUGCGCAGAUAUCAGGAGGAACACCGAUGGCGAAGGCAGGUCUCUGGGCCACUACUGACGCUGAGAAGCGAAAGCAUGGGGAGCGAACAGGAUUAGAUACCCUGGUAGUCCAUGCCGUAAACGUUGGGCGCUAGGUGUGGGACUCAUUCCACGAGUUCCGUGCCGCAGCUAACGCAUUAAGCGCCCCGCCUGGGGAGUACGGCCGCAAGGCUAAAACUCAAAGGAAUUGACGGGGGCCCGCACAAGCGGCGGAGCAUGCGGAUUAAUUCGAUGCAACGCGAAGAACCUUACCAAGGCUUGACAUAUACCGGAAACAUCCAGAGAUGGGUGCCCCUUUUUGGUCGGUAUACAGGUGGUGCAUGGUUGUCGUCAGCUCGUGUCGUGAGAUGUUGGGUUAAGUCCCGCAACGAGCGCAACCCUCGUUCUAUGUUGCCAGCACGUAAUGGUGGGGGA
rnacentral:rRNA from 1 species